GAGAAGUGAGAUGUGAGGCUCCCAAUAACAAACUGGACAGAUUCUCAGGAAUACUGACCUAUAAAGGGAAAAACUACUUCCUGGACCAUGACAAGCUGCUACUCCGAGGCUGCAUCAUCAGGAAUACAGACUGGUGCUAUGGCUUGGUGAUCUACACUGGGCCAGACACCAAAUUAAUGCAGAACAGUGGAAAGUCCACUUUUAAACGAACACAGAUAGACCAUCUCAUGAAUGUCCUUGUACUCUGGAUUUUCCUGGGUUUAGGCAUCAUAUGUUUUGUCCUAGCAGUUGGGCAUGGCAUUUGGCAGAACAAGAAAGGCUACCACUUCCAGAUUUUUCUGCCAUGGGAAAAAUAUGUCUCCUCAUCAGCUGUCUCUGCCAUCCUCAUAUUCUGGUCCUACUUCAUUAUUCUCAACACCAUGGUGCCCAUUUCCCUCUAUGUCAGUGUUGAAAUAAUAAGAUUGGGCAACAGUUUAUAUAUCAACUGGGAUCGGAAGAUGUUUUAUGCACCAAGGAACACACCAGCACAGGCUCGUACUACCACCCUUAAUGAGGAGCUCGGCCAAGUCAAAUACGUGUUCUCUGACAAAACAGGGACUCUGACUCAGAACAUUAUGAUUUUCAACAAAUGUUCUAUUAAUGGGAAGCUCUAUGGUAUGCAUGUCUUCCUGCUUUCUCCAAGUCCUGGGGAAUUUUUACUUUGCAAAUUGUUUUCAAGACGAAUCUAGCUCUAAAUCUAUAAGCCUCUGGAAUUCACAUUUACCUCCUAUUCUCACAGCUGUCUCUAUUCUCUAGGCAAAGACCACCCAGCCCAAACAGUUCUAACCAAAAAGCAUUUAUUUAGCAUCUUAUAGGUACAAUCUAUUGUGUUGGGCAUGGAGAAUACCAAGAUGUACACGACUUUGUCUCUGUCCUCAAGGAGUUCCUAAUGUCUAUAUACUCAGUUUCACUCCCAUUUUAAAUCAGAUGGAUGUUGGUCAAAGGGUACAAAGUUUCAGUUAGGCGGGAGGAGUGAGUCUUCAAGAUCCAUUGCACAGCAUGUUGAUCCUAGUUAAUAAUAAUGCAUUGCAUAUUUCAGAAUUGCUAAAAGAGUUUUAAGUGUUCUCACUAUAAAAAAAUAAGUUUGCAAGAUGAUGAAUAUGUUAGUUAGCUUGAUAUAAUCAUUCCAUGGUGUAUACAUAUAUGAAAACAUCACAUUGUAUCCAUAAAUAUAUACAAUUAUUUGUCAAUUAAUAAUAAAAUUAAAAAUACAUAAAUGGAGCAGUCAAUGUAUUACUGAAGCUGCUAAUUUCCUGAUUUCCCUUUAGAACAAUAAAUAUUAUUAAGAGAAACCAUCAAAGGGUAGUCAGAGUUUGAUCAGUGUCUCCCAG
rnacentral:lncRNA from 10 species